CUGGCGACGAGUGGCGGACGGGUGAGUAAUACUUAGGAAUCUGCCCAGUAGUGGGGGACAACUCGGGGAAACUCGAGCUAAUACCGCAUACGCCCUAAGGGGGAAAGCGGGGGAUCUUCGGACCUCGCGCUAUUGGAUGAGCCUAAGUCGGAUUAGCUUGUAGGUAGGGUAACGGCCUACCUAGGCAACGAUCCGUAGCUGGUCUGAGAGGACGAUCAGCCACACUGGGACUGAGACACGGCCCAG
rnacentral:rRNA from 1 species